CCAUGCUGAAUAUACCGGUUCUCGUUAGAUCACCGAAGUCAAGCAUCAUUGGGCGCGGUCAGUACUUGGGUGGGUGACCACCUGGGAACACCACGUGCC
rnacentral:rRNA from 1 species